AAGUUUUAGUAUAUUAGUAUAGUUUAUUGUCAAUAAGCAGGUAAAAACUUUAA
rnacentral:tRNA from 1 species